AGCGAACGCUGGCGGCAGGCUUAACACAUGCAAGUCGAACGGGCUUCUUCGGAAGUCAGUGGCAGACGGGUGAGUAACACGUGGGAACGUGCCCUUCGGUUCGGAAUAACUCAGGGAAACUUGAGCUAAUACCGGAUACGCCCUUUUGGGGAAAGGUUUACUGCCGAAGGAUCGGCCCGCGUCUGAUUAGCUUGUUGGUGGGGUAACGGCCUACCAAGGCGACGAUCAGUAGCUGGUCUGAGAGGAUGAUCAGCCACACUGGGACUGAGACACGGCCCAGACUCCUACGGGAGGCAGCAGUGGGGAAUAUUGGACAAUGGGCGCAAGCCUGAUCCAGCCAUGCCGCGUGAAUGAUGAAGGCCUUAGGGUUGUAAAGCUCUUUUGUCCGGGACGAUAAUGACGGUACCGGAAGAAUAAGCCCCGGCUAACUUCGUG
rnacentral:rRNA from 1 species